rfam:Nocardioides sp. Root79 contig_10, whole genome shotgun sequence.
UCGCGUGCUCUGGGGUCGGUGAAAAUCCGAGCCGGCGGUGAAAGUCCGCGACCCGAUCGCAGCCAGUGAUCGGUUGACCAGGUGGAAUUCCUGGACCGACGGUCAAAGUCCGGAUGGGAAGUGCACGCAA